AUUGAACGCUGGCGGCAUGCCUUACACAUGCAAGUCGAACGGCAGCACGGGAGCAAUCCUGGUGGCGAGUGGCGAACGGGUGAGUAAUUUAUCGGAACGUGCCCAGUCGUGGGGGAUAACGUAGCGAAAGCUACGCUGAUACCGCAUACGAUCUAUGGAUGAAAGCGGGGGAUCGCAAGACCUCGCGCGAUUGGAGCGGCCGAUAUCAGGUUAGGUAGUUGGUGGGGUAAAGGCUCACCAAGCCGACGAUCUGUAGCUGGUCGGAGAGGACGACCAGCCACACUGGGACUGAGACACGGCCCAGACUCCUACGGGAGGCAGCAGUGGGGAAUUUUGGACAAUGGGCGCAAGCCUGAUCCAGCAAUGCCGCGUGCAGGAUGAAGGCCUUCGGGUUGUAAACUGCUUUUGUACGGAGCGAAAAGGCUCUCUCUAAUACAGGGGGCUCAUGGCGGUACCGUAAGAAUAAGCACCGGCUAACUACGUGCCAGCCGCCGCUGUAA
rnacentral:rRNA from 1 species